rnacentral:rRNA from 1 species
GCUUAACACAUGCAAGUCGAGCGAGAAUCGUUUUGCUGAAGGCUUCGGUCUGACGCAGAAUGAGGAAAGCGGCGAACGGGUGAGUAACGCGUGGGCAACCUGGCCUUAAGAAAAGGAUAGCCCCCGGAAACGGGGAGUAAUACUUUAUGAGAAUGAGAGAGGGCAUCCUACUUUCAUUCAAAGCGCAAGCGCUUAAGGAUGGGCCCGCGUAUCAUUAGCUAGUUGGUGAGAUAACAGCCCACCAAGGCAACGAUGAUUAGCCGGUCUGAGAGGGCGAACGGCCACAUUGGAACUGAGAGACGGUCCAAACUCCUACGGGAGGCAGCAGUGGGGAAUAUUGCGCAAUGGAGAAGAACUCUGACGCAGCAAUACCGCGUGAGCGAAGAAGGUCUUCGGAUCGUAAAGCUUUGUUAUCAGGGAAGAAGAAAAUGACGGUACCUGAUGAGCAAGUCCCGGCUAACUACGAGCCAGCCGCCGCCGUAACAC